CCUACGGGUGGCAGCAGUGAGGCAUAUUGGUCAAUGGGCGGAAGCCUGAACCAGCCAAGUAGCGUGCAGGAUGACGGCCCUACGGGUUGUAAACUGCUUUUAUACGGGAAUAACGCGCCUUACGUGUAGGGCUUUGCAUGUACCUUAUGAUUAAGGACCGGCUAAUUCCGUGCAGUGCCCGAGGUAAUACGGAAGGUCCGGGCGGUAUCCGGAUUUAUUGGGUUUAAAGGGAGCGUAGGCCGCAUGUCAAGCGUGCUGUGAAAAUUCCGGGGUCAACCCGGGCCUUGCAGUGCGAACUGGGGUGCUUGAGUCCGCGGAAGGCAGGCGGAAUUCGUCGUGUAGCGGUGAAAUGCUUAGAUAUGACGAAGAACCCCGAUUGCGAAGGCAGCUUGCUGCAGCGGAACUGACGCUGAUGCUCGAAAGCGCGGGUAUCGAACAGGAUUAGAUACCCCAGUAGUC
rnacentral:rRNA from 1 species